AUUGAACGCUGGCGGCAGGCCUAACACAUGCAAGUCGAACGAGUGGCGGACGGGUGAGUAAUGUCUGGGAAACUGCCCGCUGGCGGGGGAUAACUACUGGAAACGGUAGCUAAUACCGCCUACCAUCGUAUGUUCCCAGAUGGGAUUAGCUAGUCGGUGGGGUAACGGCUCACCUAGGCGACGAUCCCUAGCUGGUCUGAGAGGAUGACCAGAAAAACUGGAACGGAGACACGGUCCAGACUCCUACGGGAGGAAGCAGUGGGAAAUAUUGGAAAAUGGGCGCAAGCCUGAUGAGGCCAUGCGGCGUGUAUGAAGAGGGCCUUGGGGUUGUAAAGUACGUUCAGCGAGGAGGCGUUAAUCGAAGAAGAAGCACCGGCUAACUCCGUGCCAGCAGCCGCGGUAAUAC
rnacentral:rRNA from 1 species